AGUCACUGCAGUAGCUUUGUCUUUCAUACGGUGAAGAUGAGAUUUCCUCAUGUUUAGGAAAUUUUUCAAAAAAUUGCUGACAUAGCUGGAGUUAAUUGCCAAGUAUCCUGUAGGGGCAGUACAAAUCAGAAUUUGCAUCACAAGGAAAAUAGGUGUACACCGUUGGCGGGAGUUCGUGUUCAUCUGACAACUGCAGUACUUGGCAGACAAGUGCAGUAAACUUGGUGGCAAGCAGCAGAGAAAAUAUCCUGCAAUGUUCUGCUGGAAGAAGCAAAAUAGAACGGAAUCAAUCAUCUUUUCAAUGAGAGUUUGAGUGAGAAAGCAGCAAGUUAUCAGACAUAGGGACAGAAGGGGAAGAUGAAGAUAGCCUUCUUGCUCCAUAAGAAGAGGGAGGUGAAGCGGCAAAGAAGACAGGAAGGCUGAUUCAGGAAGAUAACACAGCAGUUUACAACAUGGAGGACAAGAAAUCCUUGAAGGUAAGAAGUAGUUCUUGCAUGACCAGUGGCUAUCACCAUACAUCCGCUACUGCACAGGAAGCCAAAUUAUUGUGCUUGCCUGUCCUUGGAAGCAGUGGUAGAUCUUUUGGCCCACGAGCUGCUUCAUAUUCCACCAGCAUCUCAAAAUAUACAGGAGACAUUAAAAAAAAGAUAAUAUCUACAUGUUUGGCUACCAGAACUCCAGUUUGCAUUGGAUCGCUCUUGGAAUCACAAGCUUUGCAUUUGGAAGUACUACAUAAUGAGAUAUAUCCUUUGUAUGUAAUAUACUUAUCUCAUGUGGCCAUUCAUCUGUCUCCUCAAAGUGGCAUUUUCUGAUGAGUUUCCAAAAUGGAUUUCAUCUCAGGAAGAUAACUGUCACUCAUUCUGCUGGCCAAAAUUUUUAGGAGGGUAAGGAACUAUUAAUUGAUAUCUGCAUGAGGAACUCUGGU
rnacentral:lncRNA from 1 species